AUAAAAGGCUUACUCAACAUCAUGGGAAAUGGUGUACAGACCAGCACAUAUGGCAAACCCUACCAUGGACAUUAUCUUAGUCAGACGAGGUUGAGAAGUCUCAUACCAAAAAGAGUUGGGAAGUUGUUCAUCCUCAUACUGGAUAGAGUAUUGAGGCGGUUUUACGUUUUGGUACCCGUUACCGGAUGGGGUUUGAAGAUGGUCGGCUAAUUAGUAAAUUAAAUAUUGGAUCCACGCGUAGGGAG
rnacentral:lncRNA from 1 species